rnacentral:rRNA from 1 species
AGAGUUUGAUCCUGGCUCAGAUUGAACGCUGGCGGCAUGCCUUACACAUGCAAGUCGAACGGCAGCACGGGGGCAACCCUGGUGGCGAGUGGCGAACGGGUGAGUAAUGCAUCGGAACGUGCCCAGUAGUGGGGGAUAACUAGUCGAAAGAUUAGCUAAUACCGCAUACGACCUAUGGGUGAAAGCGGGGGACCGUAAGGCCUCGCGCUAUUGGAGCGGCCGAUGUCUGAUUAGCUAGUUGGUGGGGUAAAGGCCCACCAAGGCGACGAUCAGUAGCUGGUCUGAGAGGACGACCAGCCACACUGGGACUGAGACACGGCCCAGACUCCUACGGGAGGCAGCAGUGGGGAAUUUUGGACAAUGGGCGCAAGCCUGAUCCAGCCAUGCCGCGUGCGGGAAGAAGGCCUUCGGGUUGUAAACCGCUUUUGGCAGGAACGAAACGGCGCGAGUGAAUACCUCGCGUUAAUGACGGUACCUGCAGAAUAAGCACCGGCUAACUACGUGCCAGCCGCCGCGGUAAUAC